UCUCACAGGUUUCUGUCAGCACGUCAGCGUUUGGCUCUCCGGGGUGGAUAACAUUGCUGCCAUUCAUUCUGAGCGGCGCAGCAGCCUCCUUCACGUGGGUUUGAUGGUAUCUCAGAUAUCCCAGUCUUUUGCUGUACUCAGUCUCUCUUAUACAAAUUUAGCUACAAAUCAUGGCAGCCAAGAUCGAGGGUUUGGAAUAUGCCUCAGUUGUGCUUUCUGGAAUGGGUGGCUCUACCUCUUGGGUACAGCGGAGCUGUCACUUAUAUUUUUUCUGAAGGAAAUGUGAAUUUUCUCUCCUGUGGCAGUGUGUUAUGUGCUCGACCUGGCAACGUUCACCUCUGUGGGGUGCAGCAGGGUGGCUCCACGAGUCUUCCCUCAGUUUACUGCUCAGUGACACAGCAGGGAAUGCAAGGCCUUACUUUGCUCGUGUCCAAAUGCAAAUGGCAUUUGGCUCUGGUCACUAUCUUGUUUCUAGCUGAUACACAGGUGUUAACAGAGGCUUUGUGCCAACACACAGAUCUGCCAAACUUUGGGGUUUUUUUUCCUUUUCUACAGUAUUUCCUUGUCACUCAUACGUAGCACAUCACACUCAGUGUUUGAUCUGUAGGUUAUACCUUGGUGUGUGUGAGAAGCCCCGGGGUAAUUCCUCACUUGCUCAGCUGUGUGGGGCGGCUGAUGCCAGUGGCUGCAGAAUUCCAGUUAUUGCAUCCUGUCACUAUAAAGAAGAAAAAAAGAAAGCUUGGAGGAAGGAGUCGUCCUUCACAUCCUGUCUGUUGGGAUGUCCCAAACAGCUCCCGAGCUGCUGCGGAGCUCUGACCAGGCACUGCCCUUCAUGCACCCCCUGCACUGGGUGGUGGGACCCAGUACCCUAUGAUGGAGGUGAGGGGACACCAGUUUUAAGUGGUGCUGUCUUCCACCUUUGCCACUUUCUGUCCCUGUGGCUUCUUCCCCCUGCCCUGUGAAAACUCAUUCCUGUUCUUGUUUGAAAAUGGCUGCUUUAAUAUGGCCUUUUAGCACAAGCAGUUUGUAGAUUAAAGGAGGCCUGGGUGUGUUUCGGCUGACUGUGGAAAAAGCUGCAGGUCCUUUUGCAGUUUGUAGCAAAAGGGACAUUAUCGUGGACAAGGUUCAAGAAAUACCUUUGUAGAGUUUUGUGUGACCUCUGCUAAAUUUGACGAAGCACGUGUGACUUGAUCUUGUCCUUAGUGGUACCAUGAUCAAAUACUCUUCCAUGGUCCUGCCAUAGUGAUCUUGCAGUGGGGUUUUGAAAUCCUUUGCUCAGUAAGAAAGCCCUGAUCUCACAAUGUGGAGGUGGCUCUGCGCUUUUUCCAGGAGUCCUUCAGAGCAGGUGUUGGUAGGAGGAAGACAUUUUAUACAUUUCUGCUUUUUGUUAGGUAUUUCAGCUAAAUAAGCCCCAGAGAAUCCCUAUAUAUUCCACAUAAUUUACAAUCAAUUACAUUUCUCCAUUUUGCACAAAUAUGAUUGCAUUUAUGCAGAGGCAUAUAAAUAACAUUUCUUAGUAGGCUUUUCUGUCAUGUUUUAUAUUACAGCUGCGUGUAGCCUCAUUGCAUAAGUCGGGAAUAUCUGAAUAACAAAUGUUAACAUUGGGUGAUAAACCACAGGAGUUACGGAGCUCAGACUUUGGAGGACCUGGAUCUUCUGCUCCUUCGAUUACCUAAACUGAUGGCACCUGAGGACAAAUAGAUCUUUGCACCCAAUUGCCUCGAACACCUUUCAGAUGAGUCAUUUUGGCAGAUCCCCAGUGAAGAUGCAGAAUCACAGUAUUGCUGGGAACCAACCAGUCACCACUAAAACAACAGUGCAAAAACUGGUCAGCAGGCUGAGCAAACCCAGCCUGUCUUAGAAUGUUACGCCUACAGCAUUCUGUCUAAAAACUGUUAUCCCUCAGCAAACUAGUUGGAAACAUUUUAAAGAGGAGAAUCAGAUACCUAGCAGUAACUCUGUAGGGUUCCCCCCCAUUUUAAUGCACUGAUGAAUGUAGCCAACUGCCACUCCAACUUUAAGAUACUCAAAGCCAUCUGUAGAUAAAAUGCAACUUUUCAGUGUUUGAAACAGUUUUAGCUAAUCCAUUUUCGUGGCCGCUUUGUGGCAUCACUGGGUAAAUUCACAUUUCUGAGUCCAAGACAUAAAGUGUCUUUGUGUUAUUUCUUUAGAAAACAGUAAAAAUCACAAAGGGAGCCCUCAUUUUCAAAACAGGAACAUCAGAUUUGUGUUUCAUUUGAAGUGAGUGUAUCACAUGCUGAUCCGGUCAGUGGUCAUGUAGGGUUUGUGGUUUACUAGCCCAUCUGUUUUGCCUACAGAGCAGCAAAGAGAACACGGAUGGAGUUAGCAGUUGUAAAUCCCUGUCUCCAUCACUGACCCCUGAGAGGUGUGAUGUUUAAACCUGGUCUGGAUGCAGCUGCCAGGGGAGCCAGGGAAGGGCAGAGGGGUUUGUGGUCCCUUCCAUGACCCCACCACUCUUCUCACACCUUGGGCUGGAGCCUUCAAUGUAUCCAAAUACUAUAGGGAGCUGCAAGGUGCGUGUGUGAGGUGUUGGUCUCUGGUAGCUGUGAAUGCAGAGAGUUCUGGUCCACUCUGCUUGUGGGUGUCUGUCAGCAGAGGGUGGCUGUAAGACCCUCCAUGCAUCACUUUAAACACUUCACAGACAGUAUUGAGAAUGAUGGCCCUUGUGCUUCCUUUAUUUCCUAAUCCUCCAGUUAUCUUUGGGCAGUAAUUAUAAGAAAUUAAGUAUUUAACAAAGAUUUUUCGUUUGAGCUUUCCCUCAGUGUUUGUUUUGCUUUGACAUUAUUCUUCUAGAUGACAAUAACCAAUUUAGGAAGACAGUCUUGAACAAUCCUGUUCAUUGGGAAUUACUUUAGUCCGGGACCAGAGUAUUUGAAAGAGAUAACUCUCUGAAUAACUUGUCAGUGUUCUAGCAUUUAUUAGGGAUUGAAAUUUAAGAUAUUAGUAGUGAAUAGACUUCCUUUCACCAAAUAUCAGACACCUAACAGGUGCCCAGUUUGUGCUGAGACUUUCCUUAUGCUCUGUGCAGAGGACCACGCACAUCCCAAGGUUGAUUUUGAUUUCAAUAGCUCUUCCCUUAAUAUAAGAAAGAAGUUUGCAGAACACAAGCUAGCAGGAGCCUGACCCCAAACAUUUGCACAUGUAUAAUUAUUCUCAUGUGGGGUCCCACUAUGUGCAACAGUUAAUGAUUAGACAGUUAAUUAUGUAAUUCUUACGCAGAAACUGGCUCAGUUCUUGUGUUGUGUUACACAAAUUUGUCCUGUGAGAUUUCUGUUCCUUUCUGUUGGGUGCAGAGGGAGCAGAGGUUAGACUGGCUUAAAGUUAGACUUCCAGCGUACACACCCAGCUGAGCUACAUGUCACCCGCUGUGUCUACAGGCUGGUCUUGCUAAUACUAGGCAAUAAACUACCUACUACUAUCUUUAAAUGUCUGUAGACACUUAAUAGAUUUUACGGAUCUGAUUUCACAUCCAGUGGCAUAAAAUGUGGCAGUAACUUACCUAAUUAGUAGAUAGUCAUUAACUUGUCUGAAAUCAGUGGGAUUCCACAUGGGAGCAGUUGCACAAGUAUAAGUAGUUCAGGCUGUUGUUGAGUGGAGAUCUGUGAGGAAGCUGUAUAUAAUAAAAAAUAGUAGGUGGUGAUAAAUUAUCAUGUUCUACUAUACAAUGAUUUAUAUUCUGCAUUGCAUGUUGAGAAUUUUCCUAUGCAUACUUAAGCAGUUUUUAAAGAUUUGAACAAAAAUUCACUAAUCCCUGUCUUUGAUUUCAGUUUACCGCUCAGAACCCAUGUUUUCAAAACUGAAUUUGUAUGUAAAGUUCCUCAAUUUUCAAAAAAGCUGAGUACCAGCAGUCUCCAUUUUUAACUACUUCAGAAAUACAGCACAUAUGAGACCUUAGUAUCUAUGUAUUAGAGCAGGUAACAUUCCUCUCUGCAGAAACAGCCAACGUAGUGACCAACUCAAGCCAAAGAAAGAUUGAAGAAGCACCUUCCGUAAUGGCUACAAA
rnacentral:lncRNA from 1 species